rnacentral:rRNA from 1 species
UACGUAGGGUGCAAGCGUUGUCCGGAAUUAUUGGGCGUAAAGAGCUCGUAGGCGGUCUGUCGCGUCUGCUGUGAAAACUCAGGGCUUAACCCUGAGCUUGCAGUGGGUACGGGCAGACUAGAGUGCGGUAGGGGAGACUGGAAUUCCUGGUGUAGCGGUGAAAUGCGCAGAUAUCAGGAGGAACACCGGUGGCGAAGGCGGGUCUCUGGGCCGUAACUGACG